rnacentral:rRNA from 1 species
GAUGAACGCUGGCGGCGUGCCUAAUACAUGCAAGUCGAGCGAACAGAUGAGGAGCUUGCUCCUCUGACGUUAGCGGCGGACGGGUGAGUAACACGUGGAUAACCUACCUAUAAGACUGGGAUAACUUCGGGAAACCGGAUCUAAUACCGGAUAAUAUAUUGAACCGCAUGGUUCAAUAGUGAAAGACGGUUUUGCUGUCACUUAUAGAUGGAUCCGCGCCGCAUUAGCUAGUUGGUAAGGUAACGGCUUACCAAGGCAACGAUGCGUAGCCGACCUGAGAGGGUGAUCGGCCACACUGGAACUGAGACACGGUCCAGACUCCUACGGGAGGCAGCAGUAGGGAAUCUUCCGCAAUGGGCGAAAGCCUGACGGAGCAACGCCGCGUGAGUGAUGAAGGUCUUCGGAUCGUAAAACUCUGUUAUUAGGGAAGAAAAAAUGUGUAAGUAACUAUGCACGUCUUGACGGUACCUAAUCAGAAAGCCACGGCUAACUACGUG